GCACAGUUGGUACAGUGGAGUGAACCCAGGAGGAGCUCUGGACAUCAGACAGCAUCAAACAACACUAACAAGAGAAACCGUUUGGUUUUCGACCACUAGGACCCGGGUUCGAUUCCCGCAUUGGACA